AUAUCUCUCCGUACGGGAAGGAUGAGAAGCUUCGACUAAGGUUCGAUUCGAGCGCAGCGAGAAAGCGUUGC
rnacentral:sRNA from 3 species